UACAGAGGUCUCAAGCGUUGUUCGGAUUCAUUGGGCGUAAAGGGUGCGUAGGUGGCGCGCUAAGUCAGGUGUGAAAUUUCGGAGCUUAACUCCGAAACUGCAUUUGAUACUGGCGUGCUUGAGGACUGGAGAGGAGACUGGAAUUCACGGUGUAGCAGUGAAAUGCGUAGAUAUCGUGAGGAAGACCAGUGGCGAAGGCGGGUCUCUGGACAGUUCCUGACACUGAGGCACGAAGGCCAGGGGAGCGAACAGG
rnacentral:rRNA from 1 species